UACGUAGGGUGCGAGCGUUGUCCGGAAUUAUUGGGCGUAAAGAGCUCGUAGGCGGUUUGUCGCGUCGUUCGUGAAAACUCACAGCUUAACUGUGAGCUUGCGGUCGAUACGGGCAGGCUAGAGUUCGGUAGGGGAGACUGGAAUUCCUGGUGUAGCGGUGAAAUGCGCAGAUAUCAGGAGGAACACCGGUGGCGAAGGCGGGUCUCUGGGCCGAUACUGACGCUGAGGAGCGAAAGCGUGGGGAGCGAACAGG
rnacentral:rRNA from 1 species